rnacentral:rRNA from 1 species
AGUCCUGGCUCAGGAUGAACGCUAGCGACAGGCCUAACACAUGCAAGUCGAGGGGUAGCGUGAGGAAGCUUGCUUCCCUUGACGACGACCGGCGAAUGGGUGAGUCACGCGUGUCCAACCUGCCCCGUGCCCGGGGAUAGCCCUUGGAAAUGAGGAUUAAGACCCGAUAUGUGGCGCUUCCGCAUGGCGGCGCCAUGAAGCAGGCACGGGAUGGGGACGCGUCGGAUUAGCUUGACGGCGGGGCAGCGGCCCACCGUGGCGACGAUCCGCAGGGGUUCUGAGAGGAAGGUCCCCCACACUGGCACUGAGACACGGGCCAGACUCCUACGGGAGGCAGCAGUGAGGAAUAUUGGUCAAUGGGCGGGAGCCUGAACCAGCCAAAGUAGCGUGCAGGACGACGGCCCUACGGGUUGUAAACUGCUUUUCCGGGAGGAUAAAGUGAGCCACGCGUGGUUCAUUGCAGGUAUCCCGGGAAUAAGGACCGGCUAAUUCCGUGCCAGCCGCAGC